rnacentral:lncRNA from 1 species
GUUACCACCGCUUUAUCAUAAGUGGGCUAUGAAGACGUUUGGAGCUGCUACCGUUGUAAUCCAUCCAGACGAGCAGGGGCGAGGGCUGCAGCAAACUCCCGGUUUCCUGCCCCAUCUGUGAGCCAGACUGCGGCUGCAGGUCAGGGGCACCUUCCCUCCCUCCAGGCUGGUAAUUGCAAAAAAUGAAGCCACUGAACCUGAACGGAGAUCAAAGAACUCAGGAGGAGAGGGGGGGAGGGGCCCUUGGAGGAAAAGCUGGCUGUGGGCGGGUGGGGGGUGAGAGGCCACCAAAACCCCAACUGCCUUCCAGGAGAGCUGGAGAGACAGACAGACAGGAGCGCACACGCCUGGCAGUGAAGCUGGCCCUGGUGACGAGGGGCGACGGGUGAAGGCGGCUUAGACUGCGGGUCUCCCCAGCACUCCGGGUCCUGGCCCUGGCCUUCCUCAGACCUGUGGUCCCCUCGUCUAGUAUCUGGUCAUCAGGCCAGGACGGCAAACCUUUCCCCCUCAGCACGAGAUGCCACCCGCCUCUCUCUCUGCCCCUCUCUCUCCUCAAUUUCCAGGGACCAUUUAAAAAACAGGCAGCAAGGUGUCAAGAAGGGCCACCAGGAGUGACCCAGUGGUAAGCUCUCCCAGCCUCCUCCAAGCACACGGUCCGGGUCCCAAACACCCUGGCGGCCAGCCUUAGACACACCCUGACCUCGGGGCCAU